UACAGAGGUCCCAAGCGUUGUUCGGAUUCACUGGGCGUAAAGGGUGCGUAGGCGGUCGGGUAAGUCUGAUGUGAAAUCUCACAGCUUAACUGUGAAACUGCAUUGGAUACUAUCCGGCUCGAGGAAUGGAGGGGAGACUGGAAUACUUGGUGUAGCAGUGAAAUGCGUAGAUAUCAGGAGGAACACCGGUGGCGAAGGCGGUUCUCUGGGCCUGUACUGACGCUGAGGAGCGAAAGCGUGGGGAGCGAACAGG
rnacentral:rRNA from 1 species